UAUUAGAAUAGGAUUGAGAAAUAAACAAGGAAUACAAAUUUUACCCAUAACUGUCCUUGUUAAUCACACACUUUUUCAUAAAAUUAAAUGAUCAAAAAUCUACAACUACAUUAUUACGUAACUUGGCAUACUUCAAUUAGUUUACAAUUGCUACAUUCAUACCAUACCUUCUGUCUACACCAGCGCCAUUCUGGAAGGUCUUUGAACUGUUAUUUAUAAAAAACCCUGGACACUUUUUCACAUUUUCUCCCAUAAGAGAUGUUACUCCUUAUCUCUAUCCUCCAUAGAAAUAAGAAUUGUUUAUUUCUUUCAGGAAAUUAUAACCUAAACGUAUAAACGUAACGUAGGAUUACAUAUAACUAAAGUAAAACGUAUGUAUGUAAACGUAUGUAACUCUUGUAUUGUUAAUGUUUAUACCAAGACGUUCAUACAGAGUUUAAGAGUAUUUUUUAAACAUCUUUAUUUCUGAUCACUAAAAUGUUUGUUAGACAGUACGAAAGUGUAAUUGAAAAUGAGUCGAGUAGCGAUGAAGAAGUAUUCAAAUUUCAAAGAAAACUUAAUAAUAUUAUUGCAUCAAAUUCAAGCUCAGAAAAUGAGAAUUCGUAUGAGAGUGAAGAUUUUGAAGAACUAUUAGAAAACCUGUCUACAGAAGAAGAGAAUGAACAAAAUGAUACUGUUGGUUUAUUUGACAAUAUCCAGUGGAUGCAGUUUACCGGAAAACAAAAAUCAUUUGAAUUCACUGGGAAUAGUGGACUUCUUGUAAAACUACCUGCAAGUAUUACAGCGGGUCAAGUUCUUUCUCUCUUUUUGAAUGAACAAGUGAUAGACCUUAUAGUGGUGGAAACAAACAGGUAUGCAGAGAAAAAAUUUGGUCAAAAUACUAACAGCGAAUACCUUCAAGAUAAUAGAUGGGAACCAACAAAUUCUGAAGAGAUCAAAAUAUUUCUUGGAUUAUUGCUUUGGAUGGAGUUAGUGCAAGUGCCACUAAACGAAUAUUGGUCAACAAAUCCUAUUUAUAAUUUUCCAUUUCCCCGUAGUAAAAUGUCUCGGAAACGAUUCAAAUUAUUAUUAUCAAAUUUACAUUUUUCAAACAACGAAGCCAUACAACAAAAUAAUCGACUUGGAAAAGUAUUACUAUUAUUGCAAAUACUUACAGAUAAUUAUCAACAAAUAUUUUUACCUGGCCCAGAAAUUGUAGUUGAUGAGACUAUAGUUCCUUGGAGGGGAAGGCUUUUAUUCAGGCAAUACAUACCGACAAAGUCAUAUAAACAUGGGAUGAAACUGUUUAAAUUAUGUUCUACAGAAGGUUAUACAUGGUCCAUUAAAAUAUAUGCUGGACGAGAUAUCUGUGGGAUCAAUCAAACCUGUAGUAUUAUACCCGAAAAUGUUUGCAUCGAGCUCAUUAAUAAGCUAUUAAAUGAAGGACGUACCUUGUAUAUUGACAAUUUUUAUACAAGCUACGAAUUAGCAAUAAAAUUAUUAAAUUUCAAAACCUAUGUUGUUGGAACAGUACGUCACAACAGAAAUUUUAUGCCAAAAGAUGUUAUGUUUCACCAAUUGCAAAGGGGUGAAAUAAUAUCACGGGAAGACGAUAAUGGCAUUGUAGUGCUGAAGUGGAAAAAUAUCCGUGAUGUCAGUAUAUUAUCAUCGAAACAUGCACCUGUUAUGGUACCAAUUUCGGAUUCUUCCAUUCUUAGUAGUCGUCGUCCUCCAAAAACUAAACCAUUGGCAGUAAUAGCAUACGAUACUGUAAGAUCUGGCAUUGAUAGAAACCACCAAAUGGUAUCAUAUGCAACAACAAUUCGGAAGAGCAUAAAAUGGUAUCAGAAACUAGCAAUUCACUUCCUUAUAGGAAUUACCGUAAUUAAUGCACAUAUUGUUUAUCAAAAAGCAACAAACCAAAAAAUAAAAAUAAGAAAAUUCCGAGAGCUUAUAGUUCAAGAGUGGUUGGAGUCGGAAAACGCAAAACCCCAUAUAAUAGAAAAAGCGUUUCAUCAAUUGCAAGUUCGAAAAAAUCCUCAGGGCAAAUCUAUAAGAAGGAUGUGCGUACGGUGCUACGCAAAACAAAGACAAACUCAACAACGCCAGGAAGUAAGAAAAAAUUUACAAAAGACCAUAACUUAUUGUCCUGAAUGCCCACGGUCACCUCAAUUAUGUUUCUUAUGUUUUAACGAAUUCCAUCAUAACCAAUAAAAAGCUAUAUGAAUCUAUCUACAACACCUAUCCGUGUUGUUGGAGGGAGAUCUGUACAAAGAAUUACAGACUCAGAUUUACUUACAGACACAGAACAACUUUUUAUCAGACGGAGCUUUACAGAGAAUCAGAGAACCACUUAACUUAACUUAUCUACACGUAUUUAUACAAAAAGUAACCUACGCCCUUUUGGAGAGGGGCAGGGAAGAUAUUAAUCUUAUUGGCCUUCAGCAUUCACUGGAGGUGGGGGGCCAAAAUCGGAAAAGCUCGGUCUCCCAUCGUUUUUAAUUGUUACCGUCAACGGUCCUCUCCUUGGUAACUAUCAACGAUUUUUCAUAAACAACCGUCAACGGUUAUCCCUUUAGCAACCAUCAACGGUUAUCUCCCUAGCAACCGCCAACGGUUUUCCAAUUGUUAUGAGAAAGAGAAUAACACAAAAGAAGAAGAUCGUAACCUAAUACGACUUAUCGCCUACACAUAACGUUAAAAGUACACCUACUGUACAAAAUACCAAACAUAAUUGAUGCUUGAAAUUCACGCCAAUAAAGAUGGACAGAUCACGGGGCGCGCAUGGGAAGGGUUGAACGGAAAAAGACUACUGGGUAGACCGAGACGUAGAUAGGAGGACAAUAUUAGGAGGGAUUUUAAAGAAAUAGGCUACGAAGACCGCGAAUGGAGAGGAGGUCGCCCUCAGGAACAGGAACACUGGCGGGAUAUUUAGUAUUUGCUGCAAUUGCUUUUCAAGUUCCUAAUGCUAAUUAAUAAUUAUAAUAAUAAUGUUAUUGAAUUAUAACGUGUUUCUUUUACAACGACUUUUGAAGAGAACAUUUUGUUGGAAUCCUUGUGAUUCAAAACUCAAUGAAAUGAAAAAAAUACUACCAAAAUUGUUUCGUUUUUUUUUUCAAGCAUUUAAAGGAAUUAGUAGCAACAACAAAAAUUACUUAUGUGUGUAAACCCAUAAUAAAGAUAUCUCAAAUUCACAGAAAGACUAUCAUCUACCGGACUUUCAAAAAAGGAUAUAUUAUAUUUACUUAGGUUAGGACAGUGUAUCUUUCUGUCGACAAACAUUCUACAAUUUUUUGUUCUAUCUAUAGCUAUCGCAUUCGGCAUUCUAUCUUAAUUGAUACCAUUUUGAAAGUGAUAGUUUUUGUCAGCUACCCUCCAUCCCAAGAUCAUGCCGGUGCCCUUUGAUAUAUAUGUGUGGUUUCACUUUUAACACGUGUGAUCUGCAUACAUGAUAUUUAGAAUAUGAAACGGGCCAUCACAACUUCCUACACACGGACAGAAUCUGGCCUUCUUCAUGACUACCCUGGUCAAACUACAUAAGAUAAUUUUUUGGUUUAAAAGAAAAUAUGUAAAAUAAAUGA
rnacentral:misc_RNA from 1 species